rnacentral:lncRNA from 1 species
UAUUUCCGUUGUUGUUCUUGACCUGUCACCUAAUUUUCUGCCGUAUGUUUCUGUCUCUGUGGAGGUUAUUUCCGUUGUUUCUGUUAUUUCCGUUAUAUCCGUUAUUUCCGUUAUUAUUUCCAUUAUUUUUUUCUGUUAUUUCCGUUAUUAUUUCCGUAAUUUCGUUUUUUUCUGUUAUUUCCGUUGUUGUUCUUGACCUGUCAUUUAAUUUUCUGCUGUAAUUUUCACUCUUUGUGGAGGUUAUAAUUGUUAUUUCCGUUACUUCAGUUAUUUCCGUUGUUGUUCUCGACCUGUCAUUUAAUUUUCUGCCGUAUGUAUCUGUCUCUUUGGAGGUUAUUUCCUUUAUUUCUUUUCUCUCAGUUCUUUCCUUUCUUUCCGUUCUUUCAGUUAUUUCCUUUGUUGUUCUAGACCUGUCACUUAAUUUUCUGCCGUAUGUUUCUGUCUCUGUGGAGGUUAUUUCCGUUAUUUCCGUUAUAUCCAUUAUUUCCGUUAUUAUUUCCGUUUUUUUUUUUUCUGUUAUUAUUCCCAUUAUUUUUUUUGUUAUUUCUGUUAUUACUUCUGUUAUUUCCGUUAUUAUUUCCGUUAUUUUGGUUUUUUUUUUUAUUUCCGUUGAUGUUCUUGACCUCUCACCUAAUUUUUUGCCGUAUGUUUCUUUCUCUCUGGAGGCUAUUUCCAUUAUUUCCGUUAUUUCCGUUGUUGUUCUUGACCUGUCAACUAAGUUUCUGCCGUAUGUUUCUGUCUUCAAAGGUUAUUUCCGUUAUUUCCGUUAUUUCCAUUAUUUCCCUUGUCGUUCAUGACCUGUCAGUUAAUUUUCUGCCGUAAUUUUCUGUCUCUGUGGAGGUUCUAUCAAUUAUUGCCGUUAUUUUCGUUAUUUCCGUUAUUUCCGUUGUUUUUGACCUGUCACCUAAUUUUCUGCCGUAUGUUUCUGUCUCUGUGGAGUUUUUUUCCGUUAUUUCCGUUAUAUCCGUUAUGUCUGUUAUUAUUUCCG